GACGAACGCUGGCGGCGUGCUUAACACAUGCAAGUCGAGCGGUAAGGCCCUUUCGGGGGUACACGAGCGGCGAACGGGUGAGUAACACGUGGGUGACCUGCCCUCAGCUCUGGGAUAAGCCUGGGAAACCGGGUCUAAUACUGGAUAUGACUCCAUGACGCAUGUUGUGGGGUGGAAAGCCUUGUGCGGCUGAGGAUGGGCCCGCGGCCUAUCAGCUUGUUGGUGGGGUGANGGCCUACCAAGGCGACGACGGGUAGCCGGCCUGAGAGGGCGACCGGCCACACUGGGACUGAGACACGGCCCAGACUCCUACGGGAGGCAGCAGUGGGGAAUCUUGGACAAUGGGCGCAAGCCUGAUCCAGCCAUG
rnacentral:rRNA from 1 species